CUCAAAAUGGAGGCCCUAUCU
rnacentral:miRNA from 1 species